rnacentral:lncRNA from 10 species
UGAAAAAAAAGUUGAAAAUGAAACUCACCAUUCUAAACAUGACGCCUACCCUCAGAUGUGAGCCCACCUUGAGUUAGCCAUGGCCGGUGGCUCUUCUUCCCUCAGGCCUAAGCCACACCUCUUCAAAACUUCAGUCUGCCUAUCCUCCGAGUCUGGGUUUCCUCCAACAUCGUCCCUUUCCUUCUUUCUUCCUUCCCUUCUUCCUUCCUUCCCUCCCUCCUUUCUUUCUUCCCUCCCUUUUUCUUUCUUCCUUCCCUUCUCCUUUCUGCCUCCCUCCCUUCUUUCCUCCCCCUCUCUCUCCCUUCUUUCCUUCCUCCCUCCCUCCUUUCUCCCUGCCUUCCCUUCUCCCUUCCUGCUCAUCUUCCACAGGCAAACGUAGGGCGCACUCAGCCCCAAGCCCCGUUCCACGCUGCAGCACUAGACACGUCUAACGGGCACGGUUUGCAGCCUGCCUGGGCGUCCAGCAGCCAUGCUCUCUCUGGACAACCAAAGCAAGGAGCUGACAAGACGUCCAUGAAGCAAGAAGACAUGGAAGGGGAGGAGCAGCCUCUCCCCCCUACUCUCCCGCCCCGCCCCGGCCUGCCCCGCCGGCACCAAACGCAAGCAUCAGACUCACCUGCUCUCCGGUGUGUGUGACCAAGAACCCUGCGGGCUCCUCUCCACCCUCCACUCUCAGGAAAUAACAGGAAAGAUGUCUCCCUGGCAUGCCUGGACUCGUGCGUUUAUUCACUCAGCCCAGGAGUGCAGGUGCUCGGGUGCAGGCCUGGCCCCAGCACUUACUGGCCACAUGCCUGACCUUGGGGAGGUUGCUGAAGCUUUCUAUGCCUAGCUCCCUCACCUGAAAACUGUGGCUAUUACUAGUCCCCACCCCCUAAGGCUGGUUGGGAGGACUAGGAGAUAAGGCAGGUGAAGGGCUUGGCACACCAUAGGAGUCCACUGCAUGCUGUCUCUUGUUGGAGAGAUGGCCAUCAAACGCCUGCUAUGAUCCAGCGCAGGGACGUGGCCCCUUCUCCCAGCUGGAGGAUGGGCAAGAAAACCACACAAGACAACCCAUGCUGGCCGUCGGGGUCUGGAGGAGCAAGGUGGACGGACAUCCAAUCAGGCUGGGGUAGGAGAAGGGACUCAACAGAGAUUUUGCAGAGGGAAUGACCGAUCGAUUGAAUUCCUAAUGGUUAGAACAGAUCACAAAGACUCUCUGUGGCAAAGAGGAUGCAGUCGAACCGGGAAGUGUCUCUUCUGCCAUGGGAAGAAAUUUAAACUUUAUCCCAAAAGCCAAGGGAAGACCCUGAAGGAUCUUAAACAACCUGACCCCCUAAAGGUGUAACAAACCGGCAUUCGAUUGUCCACCCUCAUCCUUAUCAUGUAUCUGAAAGAAAACACAGGGGAUUUUUUUGUUUUUGUUUUUUUGGUCUUCUCAAAAAUAUUUGUCGUAACACAUGUCUGGGAUGUGAAUUGUGGCCAAUUUUUCCUGAAGCAGUAGUUAUGAUUUUGUAGAGGCAACUGGCCAGAUAUUAAAUGCUUGCUCCUGUGAGAUUUUUUGUCCCCAUCUCUUUUCUCAUGUGGUACAAUCAUUUCCGAAAAGGACCCACCAAUUGUCUUUCUUUAUCCGGGUCCUCCACACGGAUGGAUUCGUGGCAGGGCCUUUUGCAACAUUUAGGGCAAACCACUUGGCUGAGCUGUCAAGUCAGCGCGCGGGUAAUCAGCAGAU